GCGUCCUAUUGUGUACCUUGGGUGAAUGUGGGGAAAAGGAAUAAGAUGAUCACAGUUGCAGCUAUGGUUAUGUUGAUGAUCAAAAGGAGCAAGCGCAAGAGAACAGAAGUUGACCAAUUGGGUAGCAUGUCAACUAUGGAGUUCCUUCUAGAGACACAGAUUUCAAGCUCAGAAAAGUAUAUUACAAGGAUGAACUUCAGAGAUCUCUGCAAAGCUACAGAAAAUUUUAACCAACAAAAUAUCAUUGGGCUGGGACAAAUGGGGACCAUGUACAAGGCAACCCUUCCUAACGGUUGGUCUAUUGCAGUGAAGAGAUUAUCAAAUUUCUUUGACUUAGAAGAACAGUUUGACUUGGGAGAACAGUUCAUGUCUGAAUUGAAGACGCUAGGUAGACUGAGGCAUGAAAACUUAAUUACACUCCUUGGAUUCUGCAUAGAAUCAAAGGAGAGGCUUCUGGUGUAUAAAUAUAUAUCAAAUGGAAACCUUUUCGAUUGGUUACAUUCAAAGGAGGACAAGAAGAAGAUUCUUGGGUGGCCUUUGAGGGUGAAAAUUGCAGUUGGUUUAGCUAGAGGAAUGGCAUGGCUUCACCAUGGCGACAAUUUUCGUGUGGCUCAUCUUAACGUAAGCGCAAAAAGCAUUUUACUUGAUCAGAAAUUUGAACCCAAGUUAUCAAACUUUG
rnacentral:misc_RNA from 1 species